rnacentral:rRNA from 1 species
UUCGUCCUACGGGGGGCAGCAGUGGGGAAUAUUGGGCAAUGGGCGCAAGCCUGACCCAGCAACGCCGCGUGAAGGAAGAAGGCUUUCGGGUUGUAAACUUCUUUUCUCAGGGACGAAGCAAGUGACGGUACCUGAGGAAUAAGCCACGGCUAACUACGUGCCAGCAGCCGCGGUAAUACGUAGGUGGCAAGCGUUAUCCGGAUUUACUGGGUGUAAAGGGGGGGAAGGCGGG